rnacentral:rRNA from 1 species
GACGAACGCUGGCGGCGUGCCUAAUACAUGCAAGUCGAACGCACAGUUUAUACCGUAGCUUGCUACACCAUAGACUGUGAGUUGCGAACGGGUGAGUAACGCGUAGGUAACCUGCCUGGUAGCGGGGGAUAACUAUUGGAAACGAUAGCUAAUACCGCAUAAUAUUAAUUAUUGCAUGAUAAUUAAUUGAAAGGUGCAAUUGCACCACUACCAGAUGGACCUGCGUUGUAUUAGCUAGUAGGUGAGGUAACGGCUCACCUAGGCGACGAUACAUAGCCGACCGGAGAGGGUGAUCGGCCACACUGGGACUGAGACACGGCCCAGACUCCUACGGGAGGCAGCAGUAGGGAAUCUUCGGCAAUGGACGAAAGUCUGACCGAGCAACGCCGCGUGAGUGAAGAAGGUUUUCGGGUCGUAAAGCUCUGUUGUAAGAGAAGAACGGGUGUGAGAGUGGAAAGUUCACACUGUGACGGUAUCUGACCAGAAAGGGACGGCUAACUACGUG